AUGAAGGUGCUGUCUGGUCUGAGAUAUGACUUGGUUUUACUACAGCAAGACAGAGUCCCAAAAGCAACUUGGAUCUGCAGAUUAAAAUCAGCGGAGAAGAGCACCAGCCAUGUUGUGUGCAAGCAGAGGCAGGUGCUGCUGUUGAUAUCUGCAGGGAAAGAACAGGAGUAACCUAGAAAAGGUGCAGGCCAGGUAUUUGUACUUCGCUGAUGCAGUUUCGGGGAAGAUGAUUUAGCUUUCAACAGUGACCCCUUCUGGUGCACGCGGGGAGAGUCUCCAUGCAGCACACGCCGCCCCGACACUGUCAUUUCUAAUAUAAAACACUUAUAAAAAUUAUUACUUUCCAGUCGUCAUUUGAGGAGCAUAAGUGGAAAAAAGGAGUCUGCCAUAAAGGCCUCACUUCCUUCCUGACCUUGUGUAACUAAGACAUCUCCAAGCACUCUUGAUUUUUUUUCUUUUCUUUAACACGAAAUGUCAUUUAACCAAGAUCAAUGCCUCUUAACAGAGCUGCAUUACUUAGAGAACAGGAAUCAAUGUUCAGCCUGGUGCUAAAAGAAAAGACUAUAAGUAGGGAUCUCAGGCAAUAAUACCUGUCAAACAACUAAUUUUCUUUCUGGGGGUGAAAUACUGGAAUUUUCAUUCUUGCAAAUCCAUUCCUCUCUUCCUCUCUUUAGCUUC
rnacentral:lncRNA from 1 species